rnacentral:rRNA from 1 species
GUGACCCCCGGCUUCGGCCGGGGAUGAUCAUAACCCUUUGCUGUCCGACUCUGUUGCCUCCGGGGCGACCCUGCCUCCGGGCGGGGGCCCCGGGUGGACACAUUCAAACUCUUGCGUAACUUUGCAGUCUGAGUAAAUUUAAUUAAUAAAUUAAAACUUUCAACAACGGAUCUCUUGGUUCUGGCAUCGAUGAAGAACGCAGCGAAAUGCGAUAAGUAAUGUGAAUUGCAGAAUUCAGUGAAUCAUCGAAUCUUUGAACGCACAUUGCGCCCCCUGGUAUUCCGGGGGGCAUGCCUGUUCGAGCGUCAUUUCACCACUCAAGCCUCGCUUGGUAUUGGGCGACGCGGUCCGCCGCGCGCCUCAAAUCGACCGGCUGGGUCUUCUGUCCCCUCAGCGUUGUGGAAACUAUUCGCUAAAGGGUGCCACGGGAGGUCACGCCGUAAAACAAGCCCAUUUCUAAGGUUGACCUCGGAUCAGGUAGGGAUACCCGCUGAACUUAAGCAUAUCAAUAAGCGGAGGAAAAGAAACCAACAGGGAUUGCUCUAGUAACGGCGAGUGAAGCAGCAAUAGCUCAAAUUUGAAAUCUGGCGUCUUCGGCGUCCGAGUUGUAAUUUGUAGAGGAUGCUUCUGGGCAGCCACCGACCUAAGUUCCUUGGAACAGGACGUCAUAGAGGGUGAGAAUCCCGUAUGCGGUCGGAAAGGCACCCUACACGUAGCUCCUUCGACGAGUCGAGUUGUUUGGGAAUGCAGCUCUAAAUGGGAGGUAAAUUUCUUCUAAAGCUAAAUAUUGGCCAGAGACCGAUAGCGCACAAGUAGAGUGAUCGAAAGAUGAAAAGCACUUUGGAAAGAGAGUUAAAAAGCACGUGAAAUUG